rnacentral:rRNA from 1 species
ACUCAAAUGAAUAGACGGGGACCCGCACAAGCGGUGGAGCAUGUGGUUUAAUUCGAUACUAACCGAAGAACCUUACCCAGGCUUGACAUCGAUCGCAAGCCCUAGAGAUAGGGCCCUCCCCCACAAGGGGACGUGAAGACAGAUGUUGCAUGGCUGUCGUCAGCUCGUGCCGUGAGGUGUACGGUUAAGUCCGCCAACGAGCGCAACCCUCGUCCUGUGUUACCAGCAUGAAAGAUGGGGACUCACAGGAGACCGCCGGUGUAAGCCGGAGGAAGGUGGGGAUGACGUCAAGUCAGCAUGGCUCUUACGCCUGGGGCUACACACAUGCUACAAUGGGCGCAACAAAGGGCAGCGAUGGCGCGAGCCGGAGCCAAUCCCAAAAAUACGCCCCCAGUUCAGAUUGCAGUCUGCAACUCGACUGCAUGAAGGCGGAAUCGCUAGUAAACGCAGGUCAGCUAUACUGCGUUGAAUACGUUCCCGGGUCUUGUACACACCGCCCGU